UGCUCUCUGGAGUAGUAUGUAUAGGGAGUCGGACCUGCCCGGUGACAGAUGUGUUAAACGGCCGCGGUACCCUAACCGUGCAAAGGUAGCAUAAUCAUUUGCCUUUUAAUUGGAGGCUUGUAUGAAUGGUUUGACGAGAGCUGAGCUGUCUCUUUUAGAUUAUGUAGAAAUUAACUUUUAGGUGAAGGGGCCUAAAUGUAUUUAAGGGACAAGAAGACCCUGUUGAGCUUUAGCGGAACUGUGGGUGAAAGAGAAAUUGGUUUAUUUGUUCUGAGAAUAUAUUUUAUAGGAUUGUUAGCUCAUGGGGAAUCUUUAGUUGGGGCGACUAAGGAACAUAAAAAGCUUCCUUUAGGGAGAUAAAGGCAGGUUAAGUGAAAUAAGCUAUUGGCAGAUUGUGUGUGAUCCAGUAAUUACCGAUUAAAGGAAAAAGUUACCACAGGGAUAACAGCGUAAUCUUUCUGGAGAGAUCUUAUCGAAAGGAGGGUUUGCGACCUCGAUGUUGGACUAAGAUAUCCUAAGGGUGUAGAAGCUCUUGAUGGUUGGUCUGUUCGACCAUUAAAAUCUU
rnacentral:rRNA from 1 species